UACGUAGGGUGCGAGCGUUAAUCGGAAUUACUGGGCGUAAAGCGUGCGUAGGCGGUUCGCAAAGUCUGAUGUGAAAGCCCCGGGCUCAACCUGGGAACUGCAUUGGAAACUAACGGGCUCGAGUGUGGCAGAGGGGGGUGGGAAUUCCACGUGUAGCAGUGAAAUGCGUAGAGAUGUGGAGGAACACCGAUGGCGAAGGCAGCCCCCCUGGGCCAAUACUGACGCUCAUGCACGAAAGCGUGGGGAGCAAACAGG
rnacentral:rRNA from 1 species